rnacentral:rRNA from 1 species
AUUGAACGCUGGCGGCAGGCCUAACACAUGCAAGUCGAACGCGUGGCGGACGGGUGAGUAAUGUCUGGGAAACUGCCUGAUGGAGGGGGAUAACUCCUGGAAACGGUAGCUAAUACCGCAUACCAUCAGAUGUGCCCAGAUGGCAUUCGCUAGUUGGUGGGGUAACGGCUCACCACGGCGACGAUCCCUAGCUGGUCUGAGAGGAUGACCGGCCCCACUGGAACUGAGCCACGGUCCAGACUCCUACGGGAGGCAGCAGUGGGGCAUAUUGCACAAUGGGCGCACGCCUGAUGCAGCCAUGCCGCGUGUAUGAAGAAGGCCUUCGGUUUGUAAAGUACUUUCAGCGGGGAGGCGUUAACCGCAGAAGAAGCACCGGCUAACUCCGUGCCAGCAGCCGCGGUAAUAC